UACAGAGGGUGCGAGCGUUAAUCGGAAUUACUGGGCGUAAAGCGCGCGUAGGCGGCUUUUCAAGUCGAUUGUGAAAUCCCCGGGCUUAACCUGGGAACUGCAGUCGAGACUGUCUAGCUAGAGUAUGGGAGAGGGAAGUGGAAUUUCAGGUGUAGCGGUGAAAUGCGUAGAUAUCUGGAGGAACACCGGUGGCGAAGGCGGCAUCCUGGACCGGUACUGACGCUGAGGCGCGAAAGCCAGGGGAGCAAACGGG
rnacentral:rRNA from 1 species